GGCUCUGUGGCGCAAUGGAAAGCGCAUUGGACUUCUAAUUCAAAGGUUGUGAGUUCGAGCCCCACCAGAGUCG